GAUGAACGCUGGCGGCGUGCCUAAUACAUGCAAGUCGAGCGGACGGACGCGAAGCUUUCUUCGCUGAUGUUAGCGGCGGACGGGUCAGUAACACUUGGAUAACCGACCUGUGAGACUUAGAUAACUUCGUGAAACCGAAGCUAAUACCGGAUGAUAUUUUGGACCGCGUGGUUCAAAAGUGAAUGACGGUCUUGCUGUCACUUGUACAUGCAUCCUGGAUGCAUUAGCUAGUUGUUACGGUAACGGCGUACCAAGGCAACGAUGCAGAGCCGACCUGAGAGGGUGCUCGGAGAGACUGGAACUGAGACGCGGUCCAGACUCCUACGGGAGGCAGCAGUAGGGAAUCUUCCGCGAUGGGCGAAAGCCUGACGGAGCAACGCCGCGUGAGUGAUGAAGGUCUUCGGAUCGUAAAACGCUGUUAUUAGGGAAGAACAUAUGUGUAAGUAACUGUGCACAUCGUGACGGUACCUAAUCAGAAAGCCACGGCUAACUACGUG
rnacentral:rRNA from 1 species